rnacentral:rRNA from 1 species
GAGUUUGAUCGUGGCUCAGAUUGAACGCUGGCGGAAUGCUUUACACAUGCAAGUCGAGCGGCAGCGCGGGGCAACCUGGCGGCGAGCGGCGAACGGGUGAGUAAUACAUCGGAACGUGCCCAGACGUGGGGGGAUAACUACUGGAAAGAGUAGCUAAUACCGCAUACGAUCUAAGGAUGAAAGCGGGGGAUCGCAAGACCUCGCGCGUUUGGAGCGGCCGAUGGCAGAUUAGGUAGUUGGUGGGGUAAAGGCUUACCAAGCCUGCGAUCUGUAGCUGGUCUGAGAGGACGACCAGCCACACUGGGACUGAGACACGGCCCAGACUCCUACGGGAGGCAGCAGUUGGGAAUUUUGGACAAUGGGCGAAAGCCUGAUCCAGCCAUUCCGCGUGCAGGAUGAAGGCCCUCGGGUUGUAAACUGCUUUUGUACAGAACGAAAAGACUCUGGUUAAUACCUGGAGUCCAUGACGGUACUGUAAGAAUAAGCACCGGCUAACUACGUGCCAGCAGCCGCGGUAACG